GAAUCAGUGGGAGUGAAGUGGAGCUGAGGUAUGAAGGCCCAGCAUAACUCUGCAGGACUGUGGCAGUCUAGGGGUUAAGCAAUGCUGCAGUUCUAUGAUUGCUUAUAAGCAACACCGUGCAUGCAGUGUUACAGCAGAAGAGUGAUGAAUUGGUGUGAUACAGUACUGCACUCUGGAAAGGAAUGGGUUAGGCCACACUGUGCAAAGCUGGCCUGUGAAAUCAGAAAAUGCUAUGCAUGGGCCAGGCAGACAAAGGAUCAAGAAAUAUUUCAAAGUAAACGGUUAUGAAAUAAUGAUCAGCAGAGGAAGGAAACAGACAGACGGGAAUACAC